rnacentral:rRNA from 1 species
GGGAUUCCUAGUAACGGCGAGUGAAGCGGGAAGAGCUCAAAUUUGAAAUCUGGUAGCCUUCGGUUGCCCGAGUUGUAAUCUAGAGAAAUGUUUUCCGUGCCGGCCCAUGUACAAGUCCCUUGGAACAGGGCGUCAUAGAGGGUGAGAAUCCCGUCCUUGACAUGGACCCCCGGUGCUUUGUGAUACAUUUUCAACGAGUCGAGUUGUUUGGGAAUGCAGCUCAAAAUGGGUGGUGAAUUCCAUCUAAAGCUAAAUAUUGGCGAGAGACCGAUAGCGAACAAGUACCGUGAGGGAAAGAUGAAAAGCACUUUGGAAAGAGAGUUAAACAGUACGUGAAAUUGUUGAAAGGGAAACGAUUGAAGUCAGUCAUGCUCUUUGGUAUUUAUAUCAUUGAGUGGGGUCAACAUCAGUUUUGAUCGAUGGAUAAAGGCACUAGGAAGGUAGCACUCUCGGGUGAACUUAUAGCCUAGCGUCAUAUACAUUGAUUGGGACUGAGGAACGCAGCAUGCCUUUAUGGCCGGGAUUCGUCCACGUACAUGCUUAGGAUGUUGACAUAAUGGCUUUAAACGACCCGUCUUGAACCACGGACCAAC